rnacentral:lncRNA from 1 species
UGUUUGGUGGUGAUUGCCUGGAGUGCUGGGGCUAGUCUGGGUUCUGCAGGAAAAAAGGGUCUUGCUGUGUCCCUAGGCUGGAGUGCAGUGGUGCAGUCUCAAUUAUGCCAGAUGGCUCUGAGGUCCAAGUAAAAGAUAAUAUUUGCAACCAACUCACUGGAGUUGACCAUCAAAACUCUUUUCCAGGCACACUCAGGCAUCGCAGAAAAUAAUAUGUAUUGUGGAAUCCCUCACUUGAUGAAUAAUCUAGAUGAUCAGAAAUGUGGCACUAUUUUGGCUUUCAGGUGGAAAAGCACCCUGAAUCCAGCUUCCUGCUAUGAAUGAAUACUGAGCUUGGGUUGGUGGAAAUUGAUUUUCGAGAUAAAGAAUCCAGCCAGGACUGUGAAGCCCCAGGGAAUGGCUGCACUUCAAGUCAGAAGGAGCCUGGGUCCCUGAAUCAUCAUGUGGAAGGCUCUCCACCCAGUUCAAUGGUGCAAUGGACCACAAGCAGGAACUUAAUUUAGAAUGUGCUUAUUUUGUUAGAUUUUGUAAUUAAAAAAUGGAUCCCACUCUGACUGAAUCA